rnacentral:lncRNA from 1 species
AUUUACUCGAGUCGGGUCCGUGGUGAUGCGACGUUCAGUGUUGGUUACUCCAGUGUUGAUAUACUCUUUUAAGAAGAAACUACACUAUGAAAACACUCAACGCAGUUCUGUCUUUGUGGACAGUGUGUAUUGUCUUAUGGGAGUCACCGUCUUACGCCAAAGCUCUGAACACAUGUUUUAAAUGCUUGGAGGAGGAUUUAGUUUGCCAAAAGAUGAACCGCAUUUUUAACACAAAGACAAAUGAAAAAUUGUGGGAAGAAAGUGGAGCAAAGCAAGGCCUGCCUAAAUGUCCCCUCACCCCUCCUCCCAUGACUGGACAGUGUGUUCCCUGUUUAGAGGACCUCCAGGUCCUCAUUGUGUGUGUCAACGUGUCUGCGGAGAUCGAGCUGGACCUGGAGGCCUCUGAUGGGAAGAGUCUUUCCUACACUGCUGCCAAUGAAAAUUGAGAUAUAUACUGCUAAGCCAACUAAAGUUUAGGGAGGCAAGAGACACAGGAGGGGAAACCAAAGAAGAGAGGUGUGCUGUUUCAGAAGAGAAUGAGCAGACAAUGCCAAGGAAGGGUUACUGAGGAGCAUAUUGCUUUCCUGUUUUCUGUAAUUUCAAACUGUAACUUGUUUGAUGCAAAUUGUUUAUCUGGUACAAUCUCUCUCUUUCCGACUCUGUGGUAUUAUGACUGAGCCCUCUUUAAUGUUGUAUAAAAUGCCCAGCUCUGUCUACAUAGGUUAGUAUGGACAUGAGUAUGAUGACUGACCAGCCCUGCUUUUAACUAUGUUCUUUUAUUUCAGCGUGCCCUGCAGGAAGUUGGAGUCCUCCCAGUCAUUCUGGACACAUGGGUAAGUUCAGUGUCUGUUUCCUAAUAUUCCUGUAAUAUUCCUGUACAUUACGCUCUGUGGCGUGUAUAAAAAUGUUGAGCAGGCCCAGUUGACCUCGAUUUUGGAUCAAGAUGCCAAGAGGAAAGUGACUUUGAAAGGAUCUGUGACAUUAUUAAGGCAUGGAUGGCAGGAGCUUCAGUCAAAAACACUGCUCAACUGGCUGGUGUUUCAAUAGGAACAGUGACUGAUGUUUUUAGAUCUGUAUUUAGAGCCAUGGGACAGACAUCAGUAAAGUUGGGUCCGAAAUGUUGGUUGAAAGCACACAUUCAAUGACCAGGAUGCUUGUGCAUUACUGCAAUAUGUAAGGAAAAACAGAAUAGCAACUCUUUCCCAGGUGACUGAGCAUGCAGGACGUGAUCAGACUGUUAGCAAGAACAGAUAAUUAAGAACUACAUGAGAGAUUAUAGUAGAACUGCACAGAGAGGGAUAUUAUAGUAGAACUACACAGAGAAGAAUAUUAUAGUAGAACUACACAGAGAGGGAUAUUAUAGUAGAACUACACAGAGAAGAUUAUUAUAGUAGAACUACACAGAGAGGGAUAUUAUAGUAGAACUACACAGAGGGAUAUUAUAGUAGAACUACACAGAGAAGAAUAUUAUAGUAGAACUACACAGAGAGGGAUAUUAUAGUAGAACUACACAGAGAAGAUUAUUAUAGUAGAACUACACAGAGGGAUAUUAUAGUAGAACUACACAGAGGGAUAUAAUAGUAGAGCAGCACAGAGGGAUAUUAUAGUAGAACUACACAGAGGGAUAUUAUAGUAGAACUACACAGAGGGAUAUUAUAGUAGAUCAGCACAGAGGGAUAUUAUCUAAAAUGCAGAAUAUAUACUGUAUGUCAAAUAGAGAAGAUGCACACCAUCUCUCCAUCAGUGUCACUGGUGUGCUUCAAAUGGGGCGAUGGCAGACAAGGGCAACCAAAAUCUCUCCAUUUCCUGGUUGCUAAAAUUCUACAUAAUUCACACAGUUUCUUUAACUCUAGGUUACAUGACUAAGUCCACAAAUUCUUAAGCUGUAGUUAAGACAGCAUUGAGUGUUACCAUAAUAUAAACUCCACACUUGAUUUGUUCGUUUGGUUUUUCUCCACAGAGCCAAACUUCUUGACCAUCCUAAUGGCUGGCUUCAUCUUCAUCGUACUACAGAAAUGUGUCUGACACCCUCAAGAAAAUUGUUGCAUAUUUUUUUUGUUUAUUAUUCACAUGCUUGGUGGUUUUCGGUUUUAUUUUGGGUUUAAACUGCAGCUGCUAGUGAAGAUGUCAAACUACAAACGUUACAGUGAGAUAAAGCAAUCAGGCCCAGACCCAUGGCAACAUCCUGGUUGUGUUGCAGAUCUAGUUGCUGCCUGAGGAUUCCUACUUCCACAGCCCAUUGAAUAACCCUGUACUUGACCUUCUGGUCAUGCAACUGACUUGGAUUGACUCAGGCUGGGUAUCUGGAAAAUCACAUUUGUGACGACUGCUGAUGUAAAAACGUAUUUUGAAAAUACAUCUGACUGAUAACCUCCUUUCAGGGCGGCUGAAAAUGUCUGAUCUGUGAUAUUUAACUUAGAUUCAAGUCAUAUUAUCUUUUGUUGAUUGAUCAGCAAUAAACCAUGUUACCUGAAAUGCAUGUGUUUUCUUUAGGAAACUUUACACAACAUGGUUAUUUUGUUAAUUUUUUAAAAAUAACUUUUUAUUAUUGGCUCCCCUCAGAUGUGCCCAAUGAAUUGUGUUCAUUGUGUUCAUCUGCACAAAUAAAACGUUAACAUGGAA